GUCUUGCUCUGUUGCCCAGGCUGCAGUGCAGUGACACGAUCUUGGCUCACUGCAAGCUCCUCCUCCCGGGUUCAUGCCAUUCUCCUGCCUCAACCUCCCAAGUAGCUGGUGUAGCAGGACAAGCCACAGACAAAACCCCUCAGACACCGAGUUAAAGAAGGAAGGGCUUUAUUCGGCCGGGAGCUUUGGCAAGACUCAAGUCUCCAACAACCGAGCUCCUCAGGCCAGCUGCCACUGAAGCUUUCUCAGAGGGUGCUGGAGAGAUAUUGCAAAAGGAAAAGGGGCCUCCUUCCUGAUUCCUGUGCUCACUCGGCAGGCUCCCGCUGCCUGGCUUUUUUUAACUCCUCCAGUGCUCACAGCCUUUCCAGUGCCUGGUUCCUACAGUGCAUGGUGGCCAAUAGCACCCAGUGACCAGCAGCUUUCCCCUUCCUCCAGCACUCACUCUCAGUUUUGUAGCAGAGUGCCUCUGGAUCCCACAGCACUCACAGCUUCCCCAGUGCCGGGCUCCUGCAGUGGACAGAUACCAGCAGCACUCAGCAGCGAACAGCUUUCCCCAGCACCAUAGCUAACAGAUUUCCAGAGGGUAGAUUUCCAACAACUUCCAUCAGUGCAGCACCACAAUGAACUUCUCUACCAUUCAGUAACUACAGCCAUGGUUUUUCCAACAAGCUCUGGAUCUCAGCCUCAUCGGUGUUCUGUCUCAGCCUAGGGAUGGUGACUACGCCUUAUAUCUGUUAUUCCUGUAUUCUUUAGAGAUCUUCUUACAUCUUAGUAGCCAAUCCCUUGUUAUUCUAAAUCCCUGUUAUAGGUUUUUUUUUUUCCACCCAACUACACCAGAACAGAGGUAAUUUUUCUUUUAAUUUUUUUUUUUUUUUUUUUAGACAGGGUCUCAGUCUGUCACACAGGCUGGAGUGCAGUGGUACGAUCAUAGCUCACUGCAGCCACAACAUCCUCAACUCAAGUGAUCCUCCUGCCUCAGCCUCCCGAGUAGCUGGAACUAUAGGCCUGCAUCACCAUGCCCAGCCAUUGUUGUUUAUUUUUUGUAGAGAUGGGGUUUCGCCCUGUUGCCCAGGCUGGUUUCAAACUCCUGAGCUCAAGUGAUCCACCUGCCUCAGCCUCUCAAAGUGCUGGGAUUACAGGUGUGAGCCACCAUGCCUAGCCCAGGGGUAAAUUCUUAUAUUAAACUUUCUCUGCUCA
rnacentral:lncRNA from 10 species